rnacentral:rRNA from 1 species
UCAAAUCAGGUAGGAGUACCCGCUGAACUUAAGCAUAUCAAUAAGCGGAGGAAAAGAAACCAACCGGGAUUGCCUCAGUAACGGCGAGUGAAGCGGCAAAAGCUCAAAUUUGAAAUCUGGCAGCAAUGUCCGAGUUGUAAUUUGAAGAGGGUGUUUUGGAGGCGGGUCUUGUCUAUGUCUGUUGGAACACAGCGUCACAGAGGGUGAGAAUCCCGUGCGAUGAGAACGCGUCUCCGUGUAAAGUGCCCUCGACGAGUCGAGUUGUUUGGGAAUGCAGCUCUAAGUGGGUGGUAAAUUCCAUCUAAAGCUAAAUAUUGGCGAGAGACCGAUAGCGAACAAGUACAGUGAUGGAAAGAUGAAAAGCACUUUGAAAAGAGAGUGAAAAAGUACGUGAAAUUGUUGAAAGGGAAGGGCUUGAGAUCAGCGUGGAGAGGAUUCAUUCUCUCUGGGCCAGCAUCGGUUUGCGGGGGGAGACACGGGGCACGAGCGGCGCUGUAUGGCGAAGCUCGGGCCAGAUAUCCCCACCACAGACCGAGGACUGCGAGCAAUCAAGGAUGCUGGCAUAAUGAUCUUCAGCCGCCCGUCUUGAAACACGGACCAAGGAGUCUAACGUCUAUGCGAGUGUUUGGGUGUCAAACCCCAGCGCGGAAUGAAAGUAAGAGAUGAGAGCGAUG